AUUGAACGCUCGCGGCAUGCCUUACACAUGCAAGUCGAACGGUAACAGGGAGCUUGCUCCGCUGACGAGUGGCGAACGGGUGAGUAAUGUAUCGGAACGUACCUUUUAGUGGGGGAUAACGUAGCGAAAGUUACGCUAAUACCGCAUAUUCUCUGAGUAGGAAAGCAGGGGACCUUCGGGCCUCGCGCUAAUAGAGCGGCUGAUAUCGGAUUAGCUAGUUGGUGAGGUAAAGGCUCACCAAGGCGACGAUCUGUAGCGGGUCUGAGAGGAUGAUCCGCCACACUGGAACUGAGACACGGUCCAGACUCCUACGGGAGGCAGCAGUGGGGAAUUUUGGACAAUGGGGGCAACCCUGAUCCAGCCAUGCCGCGUGAGUGAAGAAGGCCUUCGGGUUGUAAAGCUCUUUCGGCCGGGAAAAAAUCGCAUGGGUUAAUACCCUGUGUGGAUGAUGGUACCGGAAUAAGAAGCACCGGCUAACUACGUGCCAGCCGCCGCCGUAAGAC
rnacentral:rRNA from 1 species